rnacentral:rRNA from 1 species
CUACGGGUUGCUGCAGUGAGGAAUAUUGGGCAAUGGACGAAAGUCUGACCCAGCCAUGCCGCGUGCAGGAUGACGGCCCUACGGGUUGUAAACUGCUUUUGUACAGGAAGAACGACUCGAACGUGUUCGGGAAUGACGGUACUGUACGAAUAAGCAUCGGCUAACUCCGUGCCAGCAGCCGCGGUAAUACGGAGGAUGCAAGCGUUAUCCGGAUUCAUUGGGUUUAAAGGGUGCGUAGGCGGGGUAAUAAGUCAGUGGUGAAAUCUCACAGCUUAACUGUGAAACUGCCAUUGAUACUGUUACUCCUGAAGGCAGUUGAGGUAGGCGGAAUGUGUAGUGUAGCGGUGAAAUGCUUAGAUAUUACACAGAACACCGAUUGCGUAGGCAGCUUACUAAACUGUAAUUGACGCUGAGGCACGAAAGCGUGGGGAGCGAACAGGAUUAGAUACCCCGGUAGUC